GCGCGGCCAUUUGCAGGCACCGCCGGGCGGGCGCCGCCGGCAGCUCCGGGCAGCCGCGCUCCGUCCCCGCUCCCUCUCUCGUCUCCUCUCUCCCCUCUCCUCUCCUGUCCGCUCUUCUCCCCCUUCUCCCGCUCCGCCUGCCCGUUCCGCAAUGAUGAGGCAGGCCCCGGCCGCACGGAAGAAUGCCCCCAGCAGCACCGCGCGCGUUGGGACCCCUGGGAAAGCAGCCGGGAUGGAGCUCGCCGGUGUCACGCUGCACGGGCGGUGAUGGGGGCGACGCCAACAGGUGGGCUCUGGCCCAGCGCUCCCUGGAAGAGGCUCGGCUCCUCCAUCGCCGGGCGAUCGCUGGGAAGGGCAGUGCUUCCAUGCAGCAGGAGCUGCACGCUGACCUCGGCCGCCCACUGCCAGAAGCCUCCCAGGGACAACGCGGGAGAUCUCUGUGGCAGGGCCUGUGGUGCGGGGAGAGCUCUGCUCCGCUGCGCCUGAACCCUGUGAGCCGUGUCCAGCAGAAGACCUCGGCGAGGCGGUACAGGCCCUGCCCGGUGCGAGGAGAUAACACAGGCGUGCUCGUCCGGAGGGCAAAGCUGCGGCACGCUCGGGAUGGUGCCGGCACUCGGUGCUCUUGGCUGGCUCUGGGCUGUGACUCUCGUGCUCCGAGUGGAACCGACUGGGCAGCACCCCGGGACCUGCCAUCCGCAGCCUCACAUCACGCGUGGGUGACGCCGGCUGCUGCCGUGGGCAGUUGGAGGUAGCCGGGAGUUUCGCCGGGCUGGAUGCGGGGUUUGGAUACGAGUGAGUCUGCCUCGAGCCCCGGGUGCUGCUCUUGCUCCUGAGUGUGGGGCUGCCCAGGGAGCGAAGGGUGUGUAAUAGCAUCAUCGAGUGUUUAUGCAGCAACAUUAUGCAGCAGAGUUCAGAACCACCAAAUAAAAUAUUAAUAGCCACGAUGGGCCGGUGCAGAGCAUCCUGGCAUCCGGGAGGUCACAAAGUAUCCGCAUUAAGCGACGGUGUGGGGAGCCAGUUCUGGAGCCUGGCAGAAGCUCAAGGGCCUGAGACCCGCUCCCGAGCAGGGCUUCCUCGAUGGUCCCGCGGUGGGAAGUGCUCUGUCGGGGGUGUCGUGCUGCCUCCCUUGCUCUUGGAUGCUCUUUGCUGCGUGGCGAGCGGGCAGUGAGAGCUGGAACCUAACUGAUCGUAAUGGCUGGGAAGGAGGAGCCAGCAUCCCAGCCCGGGCAUCGCUCUGCAAGCUGCUUACAAGUGCUUUGGAGACCACAGAUGGUGAAUUGCUGCCUGAAAGCUAACCCCAGCUGCUCCCUGAGGAGGCGCGAGGGUCUUGCCUUUAUUCCAGGUGGCCUUCGCACUCAGCCCCAGGGGCUCCCCAGCGCCUUCGGACCCCUCCAGGCAGGGAGCACUUCUGCCUUCGCAGCGCUGGUUCGGAGGAGCGGGGCGUGCUGCGGACAGGCAGGUGGCGGGGACAGGCGCCGCAGCGGGAGCCUGGCCGCCCUCCCGAGCAGCAGACCUCUCUGACCUCCCCUCAGCAAGGGGCAUUCGCCCGGUGCAUCGCAGAUCUGACGCUUCGGCUCUUGAUAGCGGCAUGGCAUUGCGUGGUCUGGAGCCAAAACAACCUUCCGUGUUACGCUAGGCCGUGCUGGGAGAGGAGGCAUGAGACCAGGAUUGCUCUCUGUCGUUUAACGUGGCGGGCUUUUAAAGGCCAUCACCAGGAGGUCUCUGCCGUUCUUCAAUAUUCGCUUUGCAGUGGGGAAGGUGCUCUGCUUCUGCCCGCCCCCGUGGACCUGGAGCCGCCAGGCGAGGGCUGAGCGAUGCGAGCGGGAUCAGCGGUCGCUUGUGUGGCGUUCCUGCUGGUGCUGCAGGGUCCUGGGGGGGGCUUUCAGAUCUCCGUGUGGAUUUCUAGCGUCACGCCACGUAACCUUCAGUUAGCAGGGCUUUCCGCAGAAGUCCUACUCUGGAAAAGCUUGGGCUACUGCUCCAAAGUCAGCGUGGUGUUUAUCAGAGAGUCUUAAGCUUUUGCUGUUUUUGUUACGUUUUCCCAGAUAGCUUUGCAAAUUGGCAGAUCUGGGAGAUGUGCAUCUUCCCCUCUGUGCUGACGUGGGCCUGCUGUUGAGUGCAGCCUUUUAGAAAACUGGAAUCGAGCGGAGUAGGGUUUCGCCUGAGCAAUCCAAUUGUUGAUUAGCUAUUUUGAAGCGGCAAUCUGUCCAGUUCUAGUCUAUAUACAAAAAGAAAAGAAAAGCAAGAUCUCCUGGCUGGCUUUUCCAGGCCCUCCAUGGAAGGCUGAGCGUUGCUCCUGAGCAUCAGCGGAGCACUGGUCAGCGCGGCCGUGCUGCUGGAGGGAGGGCCGGGAGGAGCCGCGGUGCGGGGCUGGGCUGCAGCGCCCGAGCGUUUGCGAAGGGGCCGAGCGCCUUGUUCGUGUCUGCAGCCUCGCGUCCUGGCGCCUGGCUGCGCUUCUUGCUGCUCUCUGCUCUUGGUUACUUCUCGCGCUGGGUUAGGUAACGGUGAGAGACACAAGAGAGAUAAGAGGUGAAGCAGCACGCGGAAAGCUUCAAACGCUCUCCAGUGCUGCUGUCCAGGCGUCGGAGCUGCUGCAGGGUGCAGGUGCCCGGUUUUGGUGGCUUCAGCGUCCCGCCGCGUGCGGCGCCGUCCAGCUCUCCCCACUGCGGGCUGGUGGAAGAGCGCUGCCGGCCGCUGCUGCAGCGGUCACGGCGCAGCGUUUGUUAACGGGACAGUCCGUGCCGACGUGUGACUGCCCUGCAGGGCGUGCCGAGCCGCGCGGCGUGAGAUCACUGCGCAGGUGACGGCUGUUCUGCUGCCGUGUUGUGUCCCAGACAGCGUGUGUGUUGGGGGCAGGGGGUCCUGCCUUGAAGCUUACAGGUGUAUUUGUUUCCAGAAAUGAGACGACAACACGUAGUGUUUGAGAAGAAGCUUCACGAGAUGUUACGCCUACAAAUCUUACAACUAAAGAGCAGCAGAGCCCGGGGGCUCUGGCAUCUCUGUGGGCAGCUGGUUUGGCGAUGCUCUAGGGCCUUCAGAAACAAAGGGUGGGAGGGAGGAAAUUGUUUUUUCUAUGUUUCUUGUAAUAAAAAAGUCAAUCUCACA